rnacentral:pre_miRNA from 1 species
AUUCUACUCCCUCCGUUGCACAAUACAUGCCUUCUAUUUGUCAAAAUAUAUGUGUAUCUAGACAUGUCUUAGUAUAUAGGUACAUCCAUUUUUGGACAAAUGGAAGUCAAGUAUUUGGAAUGGAGGGAGUACACA